rnacentral:lncRNA from 1 species
AUUCACUGUGUUUCUAAGCUGAUUUAUUCACUAAACAUGCCUGUUAAAGUAUAAAAAAUUUAUAUUCAGAUAUCUUACAUUUUCCUGUUCAUUAAUGUUUUAAAAAGACAAACAUUGAAUAUCAAUCCCUGAAGUCCGUUUGUUUUAAUACUCCCUUAAAAUUGUAUUCUUUGUUAAAAGGUAGUAUUUUUGAUUUGAAGAUUUAAAUAUUUCCUUAAACUUUCACCACACUUGAUUUUUCAUUUCCACUAAGAACAAAGUGUUCCUCGGUCUGUUCCUCUGGCCUAAAUUUGUAUUUUUUAGCACUUGGGUCAGCUGAUACAGUGAAUGAGAGAACUGCUUUGCAAGGUGAAGCAUGUAUGUGUUCCAAAGUAUGGUUAAGUUGUAGGUCAAGUUCUACUGAAACAUAAAAUCAUUACUAGAGAAAGGUUAAGGCAUUGAAUCCACCGUCAAAAUUAUUCUUUUUGGAAUCAACAAGGUACUUUCUGACUUCUAUUCUUAUAUAAUCCAUUAUUCUCUUAGUAUUUAAAAUGGAGUAAAUGCUGUGGCCCCAUCUCCCUUGGCCUUUUAAAAUCCCUUAUCCAUGCCCACUAAUAUACAACAUAUGAAGUAUAAAAAAUGCCAUUUCUUGAGGUCAGCACUGCUUAUUUGCAUACUCAACAUUGGAUCAGUGAGUAGUUUUAUAGUAGUCUACCCUCCCCAACUUCCCUAAUUCAAACAAUCAGGUUCUUAAGUCAUGCCACGAAUUCUUAACUCAUACUGUCUAUAUUAAUAAUCUG